rnacentral:miRNA from 1 species
AACACUUGGUAAUUUGCUCAAACC